AGGCUUGGCCCGGGGCUGCUUCAUUUCUGAUGAAUCUUGAUGGAGUGGUUUUUGUUCCAUGCUAAUGACUGAAUUCAGGCCUUGUACAUUCAGGGCAGUGCUUUGACUCUGAGUUAUGUCCCUAACCCCUUGAGUUGACUUUGAAAAAAAAAUUGUAAGAAACUGAAAGGAUUCUAAGCACUGAACAGAAGGGUUGAUUAAAAAGUGAGAAAGAGGCUUUAAGGAAAUGACUGAGUUCGUUGCUUCUUUGCCUGUGGUAGCCAUAGUUUUCUUAUGGGAUGUUCUUACCCAUCAAGGGCAUUGCUUUCCUUUUGCCACUGUCAUUCCAGCAGUCAUCGGGGAGCUGUUCUGGUUAGAGCUUAUAGCUGAAGAGAAAGGCUCAAGUUUUCCUUGGUUCUGAGACCUAAACGCAUUUAUUAAUGGGGAGGGCGGGCACACAUGUGUGAUGGCUGGAGGACAACUUGCAGUUCUUCCCUUCCACCAUUGGGCCCUGGGGUCAAACUCAGGUCGUCAGACUUGGGAAGUGGUUUUAACUGAGUUCAACCCAAGACCUAAAACUAGAUGGGAGAAACUGGAUCUUCUUUUUUAAAUCUUAAAAUACAAAAGGUUGGUUUUUGUUUAUUUUAUUUUCUCAGUUUCCCAUAAGGAAUGCAGGAAAAUGCCUUUUUUAUUCUACCAGCCUAAUUUCCUUUUCAUCUUGAUAAGUGAGCUUCGCUCUUCAGGAGUCACCUGAAUGAGCUGCCUUUCUCUGCUGCAGCCAAGCAUCCGUGUGACAGACACCAGUGAGGAGGCUGUGUUUUCACGGAGAGUCCUUGCUUAUGUAGAAAUUAGCAUACAGAAUAUCUCCGGACUAGGAUACAUCAUUCUCUGACCUUAAGAAUUUAGGUGAUGGAGAGCUCUUUUUUUAUCUUUGUGGAGCUCACUGAAUGAAAUGCCUCAGAGUCACAGAGAUAGCUGUAUAAUUAACCCUAGGAGUCUUCCUUAGUGGACAGCUCCGUGUUGAGAGUUUGAACCUAGCAUGAAAACGCUUUCGAUAUACUUCCUAGUCCUAC
rnacentral:lncRNA from 1 species